CAGAGACAGGGGUCUCUGGGGGUCUCAGGCAGUCUCUGGGCAGGGUACCACUGCCUACUUAUGACCAAUAACACUAGAUAGUUUAAGGCAGUGGGUCUCCCCCAGUGACAGAGGAGUCCAAAUUGCCUGGAGAGAAUGAUAAAAAUUUACCAGCCAGCACCCCCCCUCCCAACUCCUGAUCCAGGCUCAGACGCCUGUGUGGUUUUUUUUUUUUUAAACAAGUUCUCCCCAACCCCUCAUCCCUGGCAGGUGAACUUAACCCAAGACCACUUUGUUAAUACUGGAAACUGACUCAAGGAUUUGUGGGUCUGUUUAUCACCUUCUGCCCUGGUGAUACCUGCCUUCCAUACUCCACCCUGUGCAACCGGAAGCUGGGGAGAGAAAUCUCCGGAUCUUUGGCCUCUUUCUUUGCUCUUCCUUCAGAACGCUCAACGGCUUCUACUCCCUCUAAGAAAUCUGCCCCAAGCUUUGAAGACCUGCCCUCCACAGCCCUCCCCCGCCCAGUCCAAGAUAAAAGGGGAAGGGUCUAACUGCAUCUGACUCAGACGCAUUCUCUGUGUCAGAACUGGUCUCUCCAGGACACCCCGGGGUCACCUGCCCCCUCUCUGCUUGAGGUCUUCCCUGAACUGAUCCAUUGGGCCCCAAUUUAGCUUCUCGCUGAAGACCUGCAAAUUACUGAGACACUGAUGUCCCAAACUUGUGGGAUCCUCCCCACAUGCUGAGGCUUGACCCAGAGGUCUCAUUCCCUCCGGUCUAGCCCUCCAAGUGCAAUCGGCAGCCGGUGUGGAGGAAAAGAAGGACCCAAAGAGGCCGAGGGCACAGCAAGCAUUAAUCUCAUCCCGCCGUCUAGGAAAUGGAGGUCCGAUGAGGGGUGCUAGAGACUGUCAUGCGCGGGCAGCCUCGCCAAGUGCAGAACGAGGCCGGGCCUGGAGAACCAGGAACUCAGGCCUGCAAAGUCCCCUCAACAGUCUAGGCCCUCGCUCCCAGUCCCUGCCAGAGGCAGC